AACUUUCAACAACGGAUCUCUUGGUUCCGGCAUCGAUGAAGAACGCAGCGAAAUGCGAUACGUAAUGUGAAUUGCAAAUUCAGUGAAUCAUCGAGUCUUUGAACGCACAUU
rnacentral:rRNA from 1 species